GACAGAGGGAGCUAGCGUUGUUCGGAAUGACUGGGCGUAAAGGGUGCGUAGGCGGUUACUUAAGUAAGAUGUAAAAGCCCCAGGCUUAACCUGGGAAUCGCGUUUUAAACUGGGUGACUGGAGUGUGAGAGAGGAAAGUGGAAUUCCUAGUGUAGAGGUGAAAUUCGUAGAUAUUAGGAGGAACACCGGAGGCGAAGGCGGCUUUCUGGAUCAUUACUGACGCUGAGGCACGAAAGCGUGGGGAGCAAACAGG
rnacentral:rRNA from 1 species